GGGUGGGGACAGGAGUAUUUCGUAUAUGAAUAUGGUUGCCUGCUAAGAGUUGAAAAAUAGGCAUGUUUAGCGACAUAUUAAAAUGAUCAAUAAUGCCCUCUUUCCUUCUUCAUUCCUCAUCUAGUGAUUUAAACUGACCACUAGCCAAAUCAUGAGUGUUGAAAGAAGAGUUUGUUUUGUGUCUCUGCCGUCUAAACCGCCUAUUUAAAAGGAAGCGGUAGAAGAAAGCCAGAAGCUCUUCCCAAUGCAAAAAAAACCAACAGAAAUGGACCUCUUCUUGCUAACUACCAAAG
rnacentral:lncRNA from 1 species